GAUGAACGCUGGCGGCGUGCUUAACACAUGCAAGUCGAACGAUGAAGCCCAGCUUGCUGGGUGGAUUAGUGGCGAACGGGUGAGUAACACGUGAGUAACCUGCCCUUGACUCUGGGAUAAGCCUGGGAAACUGGGUCUAAUACUGGAUAUGACUUCUCAUCGCAUGGUGGGGGGUGGAAAGAUUUAUUGGUCUUGGAUGGACUCGCGGCCUAUCAGCUUGUUGGUGAGGUAAUGGCUCACCAAGGCGACGACGGGUAGCCGGCCUGAGAGGGUGACCGGCCACACUGGGACUGAGACACGGCCCAGACUCCUACGGGAGGCAGCAGUGGGGAAUAGUGCACAAUGGGCGCAAGCCUGAUGCAGCGACGCCGCGUGAGGGAUGACGGCCUUCGGGUUGUAAACCUCUUUCAGUAGGGAAGAAGCGAGAGUGACGGUACCUGCAGAAGAAGCGCCGGCUAACUACGUG
rnacentral:rRNA from 1 species